UGAUACUGAGUUAGUUCUCACGAGAUCUGAUGGUUUUAUUAGCGGCUUCCCCCUUUGCUGACCACUCAUUCUUUUCCUUUCUGCCACCAUGUGAAGGAGGAUGUGCUUGCUUCCCCUUCUGCCAUGACUGUAAGUUUCCUGAAGUCUCCCCAGACCUGUGGAACGGUAUCACUUCAUUUAAGCAUCGCCAUGUUUGAAGCAGGUAUAUUAUUGUCACUACCAUUCAUGAGGAAAGCAAGGAUUAGAGAGGAUGAGCAUAUCACCCAAGGUUACCCAGCUGGUAGCAGUGUAUGAAAAGUUCCUUCAUUUUCUUGUCAUCACUUUGUGUCCGGAAUUGGUGAGUUCUCGGUCUCACUGACUUCAAGAAUGAAGCCACGGACCCUCACGUUCUGGAACUGAAGAAAUAGAAUAUCCCUGGACACUGAAGGUGGGUGGAGAUGUAGAGGAAAGAGUGUGACAUUGGAGCAUGUGGACCUGACUUACCAACCAUGGCCAGGGAAACAGGAUCCAGAAGACAUAUGGGCACCACCAGUAGACUCAUGACUCAGCCCCUCUUCAGUCUAAUGUUUUAAAAGCACUUGUUCAACCAUACUUAAAGGAGAAGCUGACCAAGGGAAGGACAAAUGACCUCUAGAGCCCACAGUUCAAAUCUGGCCCCACACUUGGCACUCAUGCAUCCAAACAAAGGCUGACAUUUGCCCAAACUGUCCUGUCUUAGAAAGCAGUUUAGCAGGUUCCUUAGAGGUCUCACCUCCCAUCUCCAGUGAUUUUUUUUAAAGUCUCCUGUUCCAAUAGUCUCCCUGAGGUUAAAUAUGUGUAUAUGGGUGUGUACGUACUAGUAUAUAAAUGUCUAUGUAUAUGUGUAUGGUUGUAUCAGAAGUUUAAAAAAUACAGUUCAUUCUCUUUAUUCAUAGCAACUGUGUUCUAUAAAAUUACCAGGAACUUUGAAUUAAUGACUACUGAACCAUUGAUCCUAAGGGAAGGACAGGACUAGGUUCCUUGAAGCCUCUGGUCAUGAUGUUGUCAUCAACUGAUCAAUACAUAGCCUUGUUUUAUGUUGUCUCUGUUUAAAGACACCUUUACUAGAUAUUGUUGACUCAUUAACAUUGAACUCUCGGCCAACAGUGCUGUAACUUAUGCCUGGAUGAAGCUUAUCUAACACAGGUAUUUUCUCUGUAAGGCUCAGAACAGUGUUCUUGCGCUUAGGAACAGUAGCCAGCCCUUCAGCAUUGUAUUUGGGGGGUCAUUUUAAACAGCAAAAUCACCAAAAAACCGCAUAAAAAUGUAAAAACAUGUGAGACUAAAUAGACUGCUAAAAGGACACUUGUUUACAGUAUGAGAGCAGAAAAGCAAGGCAGAGUACCAGUUCAUUGAACCUUUGCUGAAACCACACAUAUGGUGACAAAUAGUUCCUCAUUCUGCACAUGUCUGUGAACGACUGAAAAAAGACCAAGAAAAUGGAUUGAGUUGUACAAAUACAUUUUAGCUAGUAGAUGAAUUCAUGAAUACAAAAAAAACCCAUAAAUAAUGUGGAUCAAUCAUACAGGUAUGUGUAUAUAUUGAUAUUGGGCAAGUUCUCUAAUCUCUUGAAGCCUCAAUUUACCUAACUAUAAAAUAGGAUUCAUAAUACUUCCUUAUAGUGCUAGUGUGAAGGUGAAAUAAAAUAAUCUGUGGAAAGCAUCUGCAGGAUAUGCAAUAAGCUUUUUGAGCCACUGAGGAGGGAGCUAUCACCUUUUCCCAUGCACUCCCCUUCUCUUCAUUUGGCAGCCUCAUUUCUUCAGCAGACCAUCCAUGGUGAGCGGCUCUAACUUUCAAUCUGGCCAGA
rnacentral:lncRNA from 1 species